GCGACCCAGGUCAGCGGACUACCGCUGGUUUAGCAUCAUAUACGGGGGAGAGAACACACACA
rnacentral:rRNA from 1 species